UCAAGCGCAAUAAACGGGCCUUCCUUCGUGAUUAAUUUCCCAUUAAAUCCAUGAAGCAACUCCGCAACCCGGUAUAUACAUCGAAUAAAAAUCAACAAGAUUGCCAACGAAAACGCAGGGAAAAAAAUAUACAAGCGCCCGAGCGCCGUACAAGCGGGCCCACCAACACUAACUCUACCCGCCUUUAUCUCAUAGCCAUUAACCUCCUUCCACAGAUACCCUCGUCGGUAAACCCUGGUAAACAACUCCAGAAGCAACAAAAUAAAUACGAAUAAACUCAACACCUGAAAUACCAACCCUGCAACCAUGACAUCAAUACCCGCAAGCCGAUUCUGCCUCUUUAGCAUCGCAUUACUCGCGAUUCCACCUCCUAGGCCUUGCAAUAAAAGACUAAUAAAAUCGCAAGGGAUGAAUAUCCACGCAUACUGCCUCGGAUCCAACCGCGACGUGCCCUCACACCCAAACAGCCGAGCGAUAUCUGUCAUGCAGAAAUAGAUCGCCGCGGUGAAGAGCGCCGGCGCGAUCGUGAGGGCGCAUAUCUGUAUCAGGAAGCCGUUGAGGCUGAACGGGUCCCUAUUUAGCAUGAGUCGUCCAGCGUAGCCGAUUAUCUCGCCCACGCAACCUAGGAGGAUUGGCGCUGUGAAUAUAGCAUGGCUUCGCCAGAUGGAGAACUGGAUGAGGUGGAUUAGGGCGGAUACGGCGAAGAGGCUGAUGAAGAGUGCGUUUGCAGUCAGGGAGGGGCGGUAUUCGUAUAUGCUUGCUUCAAUCGGGC
rnacentral:sRNA from 2 species